UGGGGGCCCAACCAGGGAUACCUCACAUGACUCCCCACUGCCCCCUGUCCCGCCCCAAGGCCCCUCAGCCAGUUGCCCUGUUUGCCUCUCUCCUGCUCGUCCUCCUGGCGGGCCAUCUAAGCAGCAGGCCAGCUGCAAAGAGCUCCUUUUCUCCCUGGCGCCUCCCAGCUGAUGGGCGGGUGGGCAGGACUUCCAGGGAGGCCUCCGUGUAGGCCUCAGUGAAGCCUGAACUGGAGUUGGCUUGCAGGGAGGCCCCAAGCAAGGAAGGAAGGAGGCAGGCAGGCAGGCAGGCAGGCAGGCAGAGUGGCCCCCACAGCUCUCUGCAGCAGACCCCUCUGCCCAGCCCAGCAUUUGCCAGAUACGAUGCUGAUGUGUGGAGAGACCCCACGGAUAAAGUGGAUCAAGAUGAGAUGGAGGGGUGGCUUUGCCGAGUCUUUGCUGACAUGAUAGCACUCUGGGCAGACUUGUUUCCUGUGCCCUGGAAUCAACUUCCAUUCAUUCAUUUCUAUUUUUUCUUUAAUUUUAAAAAUUCUUCCUUCCUGAAAUCCUUCCUUCCUUCCUUCAUUUUUUAAAAAUUAAAAUUAAUUUGUCAUGGA